GACGAACGCUGGCGGCGUGCCUAAUACAUGCAAGUAGAACGCUGAAGAGAGGAGCUUGCUCUUCUUGGAUGAGUUGCGAACGGGUGAGUAACGCGUAGGUAACCUGCCUGGUAGCGGGGGAUAACUAUUGGAAACGAUAGCUAAUACCGCAUAAAAUGGAUUAUAGCAUGAUAAUCCAUAGAAAGGUGCAACUGCAUCACUACCAGAUGGACCUGCGUUGUAUUAGCUAGAUGGUGGGGUAACGGCUCACCAAGGCGACGAUACAUAGCCGACCUGAGAGGGUGAUCGGCCACACUGGGACUGGGACACGGCCCAGACUCCUACGGGAGGCAGCAGUAGGGAAUCUUCGGCAAUGGACGGAAGUCUGACCGAGCAACGCCGCGUGAGUGAAGAAGGUAGUCGGAUCGUAAGGCUCUGUUGUAAGAGAAGAACGAGUGUGAGAGUGGAAAGUUCACACUGUGACGGUAUCUUACCAGAAAGGGACGGCUAACUACGUG
rnacentral:rRNA from 1 species